AACGAACGCUGGCGGCAGGCUUAACACAUGCAAGUCGAGCGGGCGCUUUCGGGCGUCAGAGGCGGACGGGUUAGUAACGCGUGGGAACGUGCCCUUUGCUCUGGAAUAGCCCUGGGACACCGGGGGUAAUACCGGAUGUGCCCUGAGGGGUAAAGGUUUUAUCGGCAAGGGAUCGGCCCGCGUCUGACUAGGUAGUUGGUGUGGUAACGGCGCACCCAGCCGGCGAUCGGUAUCUGGUUUGCGAGGAUGAUCUGCAACACUGGGACUGAGACACGGCCCAGACUCCUACGGGAGGCAGCAGUGGGGAAUUUUAGACAAUGGGCGAAAGCCUGAUCUAGCCAUGCCGCGUGGGUGAUGAAGGCCUUAGGGUCGUAAAGCCCUUUCGCCGGGGAAGACAAUGACGGUACCCGGUAAAGAAACCCCGGCUAACUCCGUGCCAGCCGCCGCCGUAA
rnacentral:rRNA from 1 species